rnacentral:rRNA from 1 species
UGGGGAAUAUUGCACAAUGGGGGAAACCCUGAUGCAGCGACGCCGCGUGAACGAAGAAGGUAUUCGUAUCGUAAAGUUCUGUCCUAUGGGAAGAUAAUGACAGUACCAUAGAAGAAAGCUCCGGCUAAAUACGUGCCAGCAGCCGCGGUAAUACGUAUGGAGCGAGCGUUGUCCGGAAUUAUUGGGCGUAAAGGGUACGCAGGCGGUUUAAUAAGUCGAAUGUUAAAGAUCGGGGCUCAACCCCGCAAAGCAUUGGAAACUGAUAAACUUGAGUAGUGGAGAAGAAAGUGGAAUUCCUAGUGUAGUGGUGAAAUACGUAGAUAUUAGGAGGAAUACCAGUAGCGAAGGCGACUUUCUGGACACAAACUGACGCUGAGGUACGAAAGCGUGGGGAGCAAACAGG